AGGAUGUAUCAGUAGGAGUAAAGGGGACACGGAACCAAACUUGAUGAGACAGCCUGAAGAGACCGUUUUGGGUUCAGAACCCAGAGAGGAUAUGACUGAUCUUGCAGGGGAAGUUUGCUAUGCUUCAGUUUGCCACAGAACAGACAACGUAACACAAAAUAAUGUCAGUUGCACUGUGACAUAUAGCGCUGCGGACCUUUCCUCCACUAAAGAUUCUGGUAAUCAAGACGUUGUCUACUCCACAGUGAAACUUAAGGGGGAAGAUUUGACUUAGUUAAUGUGUUCUUUUCAAAAAUAUUCAACUUAGUUUACAAAAGGAGAAUUAAGCAAACCAGUUCUACAGCUUAACUGGAACUUGGGCUGGAGUCAGGUUUUAAGAAGUACUGAAAGAUCCAGAUUUGUUUGAUUGGUUUCCACUACCCGGGUGAGAACCUAGACCCCCUCCCAGAUGGUUUCCUGGUGAUAUUAAUGUUUCAUUAUAAACACACUUGAAAAUUAGUUCCUCCUUGUUACAUAAUGAGUUGUUGUGGAAGAUCACAGAGGACUGGAAAUUGUUAAUAAUGUCUUAAA